UCUGUACAUGAGCUAGGCUAAUUCCAUGAUUUUACAGACCUUUUCAGUGAGAAAAUGCCCCGAGGACUAAAUUUAAGCAGCAGGCUGCCACUAUCCUCUAAUGAUAAUAAGAUGAUAACCAAGGAUGGCAGAAUAAUAGAUGAGCAUCGAGAUUUUAUUCUUGUUGGGAUAUAAUGAGCAGUAGACCACUGGAUCUCAACCCCGGUCCUGCACAGGGUUGUUGGUGUGAUUCCCACCUCUGCCCUGUGUGCCCAGAGUUUGCAUGAUCUCCCUGUGCCUCAGAGGGUCCCUAAAGGUGUAAUUAUGGGAUGAGGAUCUUUAUGUACGUUUGAAACAGAUGAUAAAUAUCCUGAAAUUCUGACUGGCUUUAAAUAAGAAGACAAAUGAACAUUGUCCACACUGCAUUACUUCCUUUUCCUCAUCCUGUAGGAUCUCUUUUCUGUGAUGCCAGAUCUCAUUAAAAUCCCUGAGAAGUUAAACUGAAAUGUUCUCCUGCUCCUCACAGAUGUACACGUGUUCACAGUGAAGAUGAAACACACUGAAAUCUUCCCUCUUUCUUUUUAUUGACUCUAUAAGCCGAGCCCACGGUGCUAUUCUCAGUCCCUGUGUAGUGACUGACAUACAGAGACAGACACUAGGCACAGUGGAGCUCUGCCCUGUCUGGUAAUGACAGAAUAUAAAGAUUUAAUACACAGUAGUUAUUAAAACACACACAAUUCUCUGCUUAUGGCAAUAUAAUGCACAUAAUACAUUUAUAUACAGACAAGCUAACACUGUUGGGCCCCUGAGUAAGGCCCUUAACCCUUUCUGCUCCAGGGGCUCUGUACCAUGACUGACCCUGAGCUCUGGUCUUAACUUCCAAAGUUGUGAUACAUGAAGAAAUAAUUUCAUUCUGCUGUAAUGUAGAUGUGACAAAAGUGAAGGCUUCAACUUAUACUUCUGUUAUCUACUAGCUACCAUAUCCUAUGCAGUACACACACACACACACACACACACACACACACACACACACAGAGACACACACAGACACACACACACACAAAGACACACACAGACACACACACACAAAC